GUCCUAUCUGGAGUUCUGGACAAAAGAGGAGAACAACCUAUCUUGAUUCCAAGCAAGAAUUUGUCAUGCCUGAACCAAAUUCAGAACUGGGGUUGGAUCUGCAACAUCCAUCCUCAAGCUUCAAUAUCAUUUACCAGGUAAGUUACGAUCUUUGUUUAGAUUUUCAUCACACAACCAGUCUAUGGAACUUGAUGAAAUUGCCAUUUACCUGAAAUUCCAUUGCUCUAAAUUAUGCAACAUUCAUUAAAGUUAAACCUAAUUCUGAGCACGAAGUUCUAUAUUUUGGUUACAAUAGGAACUUAUAUCUGAUUCACAAGCAGCCAACAUCUGUCACACUUCUUGCGGUAACAUUCUCUAAUACUUGUCUCUGUCAAAUUAUACAUUCAAAAAGUUAAGUACAUGUAAACCAUUUGCAAAUCAGUCUUUUAGAAGGGAAAAGUAUUGUAGUUCUUAAUUUAGGAUUAGUUGCUCACCUACAUUCUCAAACCUUUUACUACACUUUAUAGCUUAUUCUCUUCAAUGUUCAUAUACCUCCCUCUGAAGGAUAUAUGUCGGUCUAAAUGUGGAAAACAAAGCAUGACAAGCCCUUCUUCUCAGGCUAGUUAUUCCAUUCUGAGGUAUCAAUAGCACAAUUUAUAUCAUUUUGUGCUCCGUCUUGUUGAAAGCAAAAAGGAUUUUUGAGGGUUUAAGCCUUUCAAGUGUUAUUUGUGCGCAUUAUCUCUUAAGAGGUCCAUUUUAUCUUUUAAUUGGGUUUAUUAUAGCAAGUGAAUUAUGAAUUGUAACUUCUAAGGGAAGAGCUUUUUUGUUCUAAUACCAUCUGUAACAAGACAAUGCUAUAGAGGUUCUCUCUUUUUGAUUUAUAAGGCCUUGAAGCUUGAAUAGCUUCCAAGUUAAUUUGGAAAACUAUUCAUGACAUCAUUCAUGUUUUAGGAAAUACUCCAUUAGGAUAGGUAUAAAACUACUAGCUUGGUCUUUGUUCUUGCCAUUGUUUAUAGGACGGCAAGUGUUUGUUCCUUGGAAUUGAUGAUUGUAGACAAAAUGUUGGUACAACAGGUAAUCCAUUAUAAGCCCUACCUGAUACAUGAGUUGAUGUUGUUUGCUUAAAAGAAAAUUUCUUGGGAAUUUCUCUUUUCAGUCAUUGUUCGUGAUGUAUUUUACAACUAACCUGUUCGAAGGAAGCAAAUACACUCCCAACCCAAAGAGGGUCUUGCAUUCUCUGCAAGAGUCUCUGCUAAGAAUACUCCUUGUGCAUCCCAGUGGCUCCUUCAAAAUUGUUGAUUUUGAAAGUGAGGAUGACUAGCUUUGAACACGUGCUUCUCUUUCUCUGUUGCCUCUAUUGUCCAGUGGGUUUGGUAUUCAUCUGAGAUCCCUUAACAAUUUGAAUGCAAGCGAUGGUUCAUUGAAGCUCUCAGGAUACAUCUCAAGUCCUGAUGUUUACACUGUGAAGGUCCUUCGAUAAUUCUGUAUCUACUUAUUUCAGUAUAUUCUCCUGAACAAAGAAAACUGAAAGCUAACCUGUGGUUAGCAUUUACUAUAUCGGAUGAUUGUUUUUUACAGUGUUUUUGUUUUCCUUGACCUUCGUAAUGCUGAUAUCAAUUCAAGAUUUAUUUCCAAAGGACCAAUAAAUGAAUUAUUUAAUAACAUAUCAAUGAGUUUUGACAGUGCUUCUGACAUGGAGAAGCAAAGUAGAUCUCAUAUAUAUCCACUGUUUUUGUUCAACCUAAACUGCCCAAGAUCAUACCUGCAAAGACCUCUGGAAUUUAAGAGCUGUACUGGAACAGAGAAUUUGUUGGUGAUUCAUUGGUUCCUAUACCAUUGAUAAAAACUACCUGGAGGGUGCCAAAGUUCUCCAACAGGUUGACAAGAAGUUUUUUUACUAUUGUGGCGAGCACUAUAAUUGAUCAGGGAUACUUUGGUUGGAUCUACAACAAUCCUUCUCAAGCUUCAAGAUCAUUUACCAGGUAAGUUAUGAUCUUUGUUUAGAUUUUCAUCAACACCCAGUCUAUGGAACUUGAUAAAAUUGCCAUUUACCAGAAGUUUUAUUGCACUAACGUUUGUAACAUUCAUUAAAGUUAAACCUCCUAACUCUGAGCAUGAAGUUGUAUGUUUUGGUUAGAGCAGGAACUUAAAUCUGGUUCACAAACAGCCAACAUCUGUCACAUUUCUUGCUGCUAGCAUUCUCUAAUACUUCUCUCUGUCAUAUUAUAGAUUCAAAAAGUUAAGAGUACAUGUAAACCAUUUGCAAAUCAGUCUUAGAAGGGAAAGGUAUUGUAGUACUGAUUGUAGUUGUUAAUACAUGAUUAGUUCCACAUGUAUAUUCUCAAACUUUUUCUUUUUGAGAAGGUAACAACUUGUAUUCUAUUCCAAAUAUCCAAACCUGCCACAACAUGUUACAGGUUUACUAAUUACAGAUAUAGGAGAGUAUCAGGAAAAUCUUCAAUCCUCAAAGCAAAAAUUACAAGGUGCCUAAAGCAUUCAGUACUGAUUCUAGAUCUUCCAUAUACUCUUGUUUACACAAAAAAUGAAACAAAACUAAACAAUUCAUCUUCAUCUUCUGGAUGUUGUUACUCUUGUUCAGCAUCUGAGAUUCCUCUCUUUCCACACAGGCCACUGCACAUUCAUAGCUUAUUCUCUUCAACAUUCAUAUUCCUCCCUCUGAAGGAUAUAUGCCUGUCUAAAUGUGGAAAACAAAGCAUGACUAGAACUUCUUCGCAGGCUAGUUAUUCCAUUCUGAGGUAUCAAUAACAGUUCAUAUCAGUUAUGUGUUCCAUUUUGUUAAAAGCAAGAAUGCUUUUUGAGGGUUUAAGCUUUUCAAGUGUCAUUUGUGCGCAUUGUCUCUUACGGUCCAUUUUAUGUUUUAAUUGGGUUGAUUAUAGCAAGUAAAUUUGAUUUGUAACUUAUAACUUAUAAAGGGAAGAGCUUUUUUGUUCUAAGACCAUCAGUAACAAGAGUAACAAGACUAUGCUACAGGUUCUCUCUUUUUGAAUUAUAAGGCCUUGAAGCUUGAAUAGCUUCCAACUUAAUUUGGAAACUAUUCAUCACAUCAUUCAUCUUUUAGGAAAUGCUGCACUAGCUAACAAGAUUCUCUUGCACGUAUUUCAUAAGAAAAUAAUUGUUUUCUUGAUAAUACAAUUUCCAUGUAUCUAGUGCGUUAAUUUAACUGAUGUGGAUCUGUUAGAAUUUCUUCAACAGGUUAGUCCAUCGACACUAUCUAGCUCUCAUAUUUUACUCCAUUUAAUUAAACUCUAAUCUUUCUUAUGUUCUUGCUUAAAUAUCGUGUCAUGUUGUUCUUGCUUAAAUGUCGUGUCAUUGUUGAAGAGCUGAAGCAGACUUCAUUGUGUUUCAAGUGAGAAAAUAUCUGUGUUGGCACUGCAUUUGAUGGCAUGUUUAAGAGAGGAAUUCCAUAUUAUGAAUGACUGCAAGAUCUUUUCAUUUGUUAGUUUGCUCAUGGGGAUCAACUUUUGUCCCUCUUUUGCCAACUUGGGUGCUCUGCAUGAGCAGAUUGCUUAGUUAGGUUCGUGGAGUAGGAGUUCCUCCAAGGCAUGGCAUAGAUUACAUCGGCAUUGUUGGGGGGAGAAAGCACCACAACUAAAGUUUGAUAUAGUGAAAAUAAUGAAAAUAAAUUGGACACGAGAAUUUUACGUGGAAACCCUUCUAAAUGAUAGAAGGGAAAAACCACGGGGUAAAAGGAUCUCACUAUAAAAAUAUGGAGUACACAACUCUCAAAUACAAGGAGAAAAUAACAAUUAACACUUCUCUCUUGUAAAAGGAACAACUACUAAAGAGGACACUCAAGACUAAAAUAUUUAUUUUGGUGUAUAAUUCUCUUUGUAUUCUUACUCUCUUUUUCUAGGAUGGGAUAAAUGAGGGCAAGAGGUCUUCUAUUUAUAGGAAACUAGAAACGCGUAAAAUCCGCGUAUUGAACCUCCCUUUUUGACUACGCGUUCAAAACGCGUUUUGUUCCUUUUUUGACUACGCGUUCAAAAUGCGUUUUGUUGACUACGCGUUCAAAAUGCGUUUUGACUAUCUUGCAUUUUCCCACUUGAAGAUUUAAUUGAGAAUCAAUUAAGUCUUCACACCAUCCUUUCUACCCAAUUACUGCAAUGUUAUGUUUCUGCUAGGCCAAUAGAAGAUCGACACCAUAUGAACUUGUUACUGUUGAAAGGGCAAGAAUCAUCUCUGUGGGGUGGCAGCAAUGCAAGAAGAAAUUGAAGCUCUCCAUAAAAAUAAAACAUGGGAUCUUGUUCAAUUACCACAAGGAAGGAAGGCCAUUGGAAACAAAUGGGUCUACAAGAUCAAAUGCAAUGGUAAUGAUCAAGUGGAGAAGUAUCGUGCAAGAUUGGUGGUGAAAGGAUUCGCUCAGAAAGAAGGUAUAGACUUCAAUGAGAUUUUUUCUCCGGUGGUUCGACUCACAACAAUUCGAGUGGUUCUGGCGAUGUGUGCUACAUUUGACUUGUACUUGGAGCAGUUAGAUGUCAAAACUGCAUUUCUUCAUGGAGAACUUGAAGAAGAAAUUUAUAAAAUUAAGUAUUGUGAUUUGUAGUAUUUUGAAUGAAGACACUCCAUUGGACAGACUUUCGUAAAACGCCCUGACCAUUUUUCUUUCAUGGUCUAGACUUUAUUGUUUCUUAAAAAUGGAAAACUGUGCCAUGUAAGAGAAUGGGGAGUUAUACGGUUCAACUUUUCUGAUUUUGUUAAUGUUUUCAUUUGAGGAUCAGUAGAGGUGGGCUGCUGAAAACAUCAUAGUUAAGUGAAUAACUAUGGCAGGUCGUGCUUUCAUGCAGUUUUAAAUGUUUAGACUUAUUGCUCCUGCGACUUUGUGUGUUGCUUGCAGAAAAGGCAGUGACCGGUGAGGCUCUUCAAAGAGUUCUUAUGUUCCUUUGUUUGCUACUUCUGAUGAUGAGGGCAUAUGCUUUAUAUGAAAAUCGAUACUAUUUUUUCUCCUCUUAGUAUGAUGCUCCAUUAUAGUAUCAAUGUUUUAAUACUCUUUAUGAUUUUAUUAGGUAAUGAAUGGAAAUUUUUGGUGUUGUUCUUGAAGGCCCCACUCACACAACUCUAAAAAGAUUAAGUAGUUUAAUUAAAAGAAGUUGUGAUUGUAGUAUAUGAAUGAAGACACUCAAUUGGACAGACUUCCGUAAACACCCUCACUGGUUAGUUUCUUUUACAUGGUCUAGACUUUUUGAUUUUUGAUUGUUUCUUAAAAGUUGAAAAUUGCUCCAUGUAAGAGAAUGAGGAAUUAUAUUUUUAUUUCUGAUUUUGUUAAUGUUUUGAGGAUCAAUAGAAGUGGGCUGCUGAGAAUAUGGCAAGUCGUGCUUUUAUGCAACUUUAAUCGCUUAGAUUAGUUGCACAAAAGGCAGUGAUCUGUGAGGCUCUUCAAUGAAUUCUUAUCUUCCUUUGUUAGCUACUUCUGAUGACGAGGGCAUAUGCUUUAUAUGAAAAUUGAUGUACCUUUUCUCCUCUUAGUAUGAUGCUCCAUUCUAAGUAUCAUAAGUAAUUUUUUUUCAAAAUGAAUAUUCUUAUAUCGCAACUGUAUUUCUUUUUUCCAUGAGAUUUACUUCCUUAUGGGUUCUUUUUAUGUUUGUUAUCUUAUAAGUAGUGUACUCCUAGUUUGAACUUAAACCAAUUUCCACCAAGUAUAUGUUGCUAUAGGCAGUGGGACCUGCUAUGUUAAGGUGGAUAACAAUGGUAAGCAUUAGUUUCUUUGACAUUGAUCUAAUGCAUUUUGAUGUGCAGAAAGUUCUGCUCAGUUUAUUAUUUUACUUCAUCAUCUGAACUUGUACUUUAUUUUGAAGGAAGAGUGUUUCAUGAGAUGGGCUGGUGCUGAUGGGAGAAAUAUAUUGUAAUCUUUUUGCAAAGUGUUGUACUGACAUCAUCUUUUCUAUUGUAUUGAUGCUGCUGUACAUAAUUUCUUUUGCCCGACAACUAUGAUGUUCAUAACUUGGAAUGAAAGUUGUAGUCUAUAGGAUUGCAUGCAUUACUCAACUGAUAGGCUGUUUGACGGUUUGAGUUCAUUAGUAUCUUUUUUCAAGUGUUCUUUUAUUUAUGGUUUUGUGGUUUUAUUUGUAAUUGGGCAAACGGUUUUAUGGUUUUACUUGUAAUGGGGCAAGUGUUUGCACCUUGGAAUUGAUGAUUCUAGACAAGAUGUUGGUAAAACAGGUAAUUCUGUAUAAGCCUACUUGAUACAAGAGCUGACUGCUGUUUGCUAAUAAUGAAAUUUGUUGGUAUUUUUCUUUUUGCAGUCAUUUUUUGUGAUCUAUUUUACAAUCAAACAUUUCGAAGAAAGCAAAUGCACUCCAAGUACUUGUAGUUUUCUCACAAUUCAAAGUACUCUGGUUUGCAUAUAUAAUCUUGGAAGCCCAAAGAGAGUCUUGCAUUCUAUGAAAGAGUCUCUGCUAAGAAUCGCCCUUGUGCAUCCUAAUGUCUCAUUUUGUUGAUGUUGAUAGGUCUGUCUUUGUUAAUCCAGCUAACUUAAGGAUAUUUCCUGUCUGGUUUCUUAAGAUUUUGUUCAUUUUCAUGGCUUUGCACACGUGCUACUCCUUCUCUGUUGCCACUAUUGUCCAGUGGGUUUGGGAUUCAUCUGGAUUCCCUUAACAAAUUGAAUGCAAGUGAUGGUUCAUUCAAACUCUCAGGAUACAUUGGUCUUGAUGUUUACACAGUGAACGGUCCUUCAAUAUUUCUGUUUCCACUUAUUUCAGUAUAUGUUCCUGAACAAAGAAAACGGAAAACUAAUCUUUGGUAUCAAUUCAAGAUUUGCUUCCAAAGGACCAAUACAUAAACAUAAAUUACUUAAUAACACAACGAUGAGCAGUGAAAACAAUCUCAGAUAUAUCCACUGUUUUGUUGUACCUAAACUGCUCAAGAUAUAUUUAUAUGAUUUGACUUUGGAGCCUUCAAUGACCUCUAUGGAAUUCAAGGUUAGAUUUUUUGUUGGUAUUUAUUAUUUAAUUGUUUUGGUGUUGGGAAACGAGUGUGAGUCUUUUUAUUUAUUUUUGUAGAAUUGAGUUUUUGUUGGGGCUCUUUUGUGAGAAUUGGUUUAGGUUGUUUUCUGUAAAAAAAUAUUUCAAAACAUCUAAUCAUUUUUUGAAACUUUAAUGUGGGUGAAAUAAAUAGAUUAAAAAAACUGGCUAAACAUCAUUAUUUAUUACUAAUCUUAUUGGAAUUCAAAGUUUUAGAAAGGACCCCCUGUCCAGCAAGGCCCUUGUGUCACAGUUGUUCCCAGAGAACAAAAUACACUCUCCCAUUGAUUAUCGGAGGACAAUGUAAAACCACGUUUCUAGCUUCUUUUGGUUGCAAACCAAAUAGACCAAUGUUAACAAGGACAUGUCAUACAUAUUUGUUUUACUGAUUGUAGUGUCAUGACAAUGUAUUUUCUGCUUCUAAGACUGACCAUUCAUGUUUGAACUUAGACUCCAUGUUUUUGCUUACCCAAUCAUUUCUGCUUCCCCUUAAAUGGAUUUUGCAGUCUUUGUUUUCAAAUUUACAUCAAUUUUCAUAAAUGAGGUAUUUACUACAUCAAUCUUCUUGGAGCCUUGCUAUCUUUAGGAGAUUGUGACAUCCAGCUGUAUUUUGAUUUUUGAGUGGGAUCAGGGUAGAGGGGUGGCUCAUGUUCUCAGGAGUUUCAAGCUUGUAGGUCAAUCUGGGCAAUCUAAUUCACAAUAAUAUUUUCCGUUUUUCAUAAAAAAUUAAGCCCUACCAAAACAAUUUGGUUGAUCUUCAUUCUUCAGCUGUGGAGGUUGGAAACACAGCUUUGACCUAUUAAAUAUGCUAACACUGUUGAUCUUUGGCAUUAUUCCAGAGACACAAGAGCUUUCGAGGAUACUUUUUUAUGUAUCCUUUGUUCAAAAGAUACACCUGUGAAUUAUGAGAUCAAGAAAAAGAAGAGCAGGGCCCAGAAUUGCAAAGCUACACUUGAGCUUCCUUCCCAGCAGCCAAAGAAAUUGACUGGAGAGUGCACUGUCCAGAGAGAGAUUCGAUCUUCGCAGAAUAUUCUGUGGUGAAGUGCCUCUGGAUCCUGAGUCCAGAUUCCUCUUGUCAGAUUGAAAAUUCAAGUCGGUCAAUUGAUGGAUCUCUUGCUCAUUGCACAGUUGGUGUAAACUGGAAAUCGAGAAGCUCUGUGCAACCCCUUUCAUCUAAUAUUUGCCUAUAGAGGAUGAUUUCCUGGAUAACAAAUUCAGUGCUUCAGCUAGCUUCAGUUACAAAAUAUUGAUGCUUACAUUUUGUGUUUGCUCAUGUACAUCUCAAUCUUGGUGCUUCAUUUGCAAUAUACAAAUUCAGUGCUUCAGCCAUUCAGAUGAUAUGCAUGCUUUCCAAGCAAGCUUUGGCUUCAAAGGAGAGGCUCUGAGCUAUAUUUCUUUGUUGGAAAUUGUUACUAAAACUCACUGGAGGCCAAAUGAAUAUCGUAAGGUUUUGAAGGACGGCAAGUGUUUGUACCUUGGAAUUGAUGAUUGUAAACAAGAGGUUGGUAUACAUGUAAUUCUGUAUAAGUUUACCUGACACAUGAGUUGACUGUUGUUUGCUAAUAAGGAAAUUGUUGGGAUUUUUCUUUUUGCAUUUAUUGUUUAUGAUGUAUUUUACAACCAAUUAGUUCCAAGGAAGCGAAUGCAUUCCAAGUACUUCUAGUUUUCUGACAAUUUAAAUAAAUGAAAAAUAUUGAUUUACGUAGUUUACUUCUAAAUCUGUACUCUGUCCUGUUUGAUCUUUUGGUUUGCAUAUAAUCUGGAAGCCCAAAGAGGGUAUCACAUUCUCUAAAAGAGUCUCUGCUAAGAAUUGUCGUUGUGCAUCCUAGUGUCUCCUUCAAAAUUGUUGAUAUUGAAAGGUCUGUCUCUGUUAUACCAGCUAACUUAGGAUAUUUCCUGACUGGUUUCUUAGAUUUUGUUCAUUUGCAUGCGAGUAUGACCUACUCUGCACACGUGCUUCUCCUUCCCCAGUGUCGCUAUUGUCCAAUGGGUUUGGGAUUCAUCUGAGUUCCCUUUAUGAAUUGAAUGCUAUCGAUGGUUCAUUCAAGCUCUCCGGAUACAUCUCAGGUCGUGAUGUUUACACAGUGAAGAUAUACAGGCCCAAAUUGAUGGAUAAGAUAUGUGAUAAGU